GCCGAACCGAGCGAACGUUGUUCGGAAUCACUGGGCUUAAAGGGCGCGUAGGCGGGUGCUCAAGUCCGGGGUGAAAUCCUCCAGCUCAACUGGAGAACUGCCUCGGAUACUGGGCGGCUCGAGUGUGGUAGGGGUGUGCGGAACUAUCGGUGGAGCGGUGAAAUGCGUUGAUAUCGAUAGGAACUCCGGUGGCGAAGGCGGCGCACUGGACCACCACUGACGCUGAUGCGCGAAAGCCAGGGGAGCAAACAGG
rnacentral:rRNA from 1 species